GAUCGUAUGCGGCGAGCUGUGGAUGCUCAUUUAUGCUUGCAUUUCAAAGAGUAUUGCCACCGCAUUCAUUAGCACUGGUACCAUGUGAUGCAAGAUCAUGGGGUGGAGGUAGCGCAGCAGCGGCCGUAUGACAGCAUCACUAUAAUUGGGCUCUCAUAUAUUGGCAUUAUGAGGAUCUAGCAUAUCAGAUUACACAUUCAAACUUCUUUUUUUUUAAAAGUUAAUGAUUGAAUUAUUUAUUCUUAAAUUCAGUUUGUUACCUACUAAUUUGACUGCUAACUGUAUAGAGAUGAUGUGCUCAGAACAUUACGAAUCGAGCGAGAC
rnacentral:lncRNA from 1 species